rnacentral:misc_RNA from 1 species
GAUGAAGAACGCAGCGAAAUGCGAUACUUGGUGUGAAUUGCAGAAUCCCGUGAACCAUCGAGUCUUUGAACGCAAGUUGCGCCCGAAGCCACUAGGCCGAGGGCACGCCUGCCUGGGCGUCACACGUCGUUGCCCCCCACCAUCUACUCCUUCGGGAUUGCGGGGGGCGGAUGAUGGCCUCCCGUGCGCCUAGUCGCGCGGUUGGCAUAAAUACCAAGUCCUCGGCGACGCACGCCACGACAAUCGGUGGUUGCGAAACCUCGGUUGCCCGUCGUGUGCGUUCGUCGCGCAUCGAGGGCUCGAAAAAAUGCUCGGCUCCGGCUCGGCUUUCAACGCGACCCCAGGUCAGGCGGGGUUACCCGCUGAAUUUAAGCAUAUCAAUAAGCGGAGGA